rnacentral:rRNA from 1 species
CCUACGGGAGGCUGCAGUGAGGAAUAUUGGUCAAUGGACGAGAGUCUGAACCAGCCAAGUAGCGUGAAGGAUGACUGCCCUAUGGGUUGUAAACUUCUUUUAUAAAGGAAUAAAACGAGGCACGUGUGCCUUUUUGCAUGUACUUUAUGAAUAAGGAUCGGCUAACUCCGUGCCAGCAGCCGCGGUAAUACGGAGGAUCCGAGCGUUAUCCGGAUUUAUUGGGUUUAAAGGGAGCGUAGAUGGGUUGUUAAGUCAGUUGUGAAAGUUUGCGGCUCAACCGUAAAAUUGCAAUUGAUACUGGUAGUCUUGAGUACAGUGGAGGUAGGCGGAAUGCGUGGUGUAGCGGUGAAAUGCUUAGAUAUCACGAAGAACCCCGAUUGCGAAGGCAGCUUACUAAACUGUGACUGACAUUGAUGCUCGAAAGUGUGGGUAUCAAACAGGAUUAGAUACCCCUGUAGUC